rnacentral:rRNA from 1 species
GGACUACACGGGUAUCUAAUCCUGUUUGCUCCCCACGCUUUCGUACGUGAGCGUCAGUCUCAUCCCAGGGGGCUGCCUUCGCCAUCGGUGUUCCUCCACAUCUCUACGCAUUUCACUGCUACACGUGGAAUUCCACCCCCCUCUGACGGACUCAAGCCUGGCAGUCACAAAUGCAGUUCCCAGGUUAGGCCCGGGGAUUUCACAUCUGUCUUACCAAGCCGCCUGCGUACGCUUUACGCCCAGUAAUUCCGAUUAACGCUUGCACCCUACGUAUUACCGCGGCGGCUGGCAC